CAGCUCCCUUGAGUGGUGGAGGGGUGGAGGCUCAGUGAAAGGUUCCUGUUCUGAGAUGUGAGGGAUGCUGGAGCUCACUGGCAGAGCUGUGUGAAGACAAUUUAAUCCUGCAGCCCUUGGGGUGCAUGGCUGUAGCUAAGGCCAUCACCCAAUUUUGGCCUUCAAGAUGUUGAUGUCACCCUGUGAUAACAACAUAUCCCUUUAAAAUAAAGGGACCCCAGGCUGUCCCCAUGGAAAGAAGGCAUGGAAGAGGAAGAGAAGCCAUGAGGGACAUGGAGUCUGACAGGGUCUACAUCUGCAGAUGUAGAAAGACACCAACUAGGAGAAGUAGUUUUUGGCAGUGUUGAACCUAAAUAUGUAG